rnacentral:tRNA from 1 species
GUAUUGAUGGUCUAAGGUAGGAUGUUGGCUUUUCGUGUCGAUGGUUAAGUGUUGGUUGCUUAUCAGUAUU